GACGAACGCUGGCGGCGUGCCUAAUACAUGCAAGUAGAACGCUGAAGGAGGAGCUUGCUCUUCUGGAUGAGUUGCGAACGGGUGAGUAACGCGUAGGUAACCUGCCUGGUAGCGGGGGAUAACUAUUGGAAACGAUAGCUAAUACCGCAUAACAGUAGAUGUUGCAUGACAUUUACUUAAAAGGUGCAAUUGCAUCACUACCAGAUGGACCUGCGUUGUAUUAGCUAGUUGGUGGGGUAACGGCUCACCAAGGCGACGAUACAUAGCCGACCUGGGAGGGUGAUCGGCCACCCUGGGACUGAGUCACGGCCCAGACUCCUACGGGAGGCAGCAGUAGGGAAUCUUCGGCAAUGGACGGAAGUCUGACCGAGCAACGCCGCGUGAGUGAAGAAGGUUUUCGGAUCGUAAAGCUCUGUUGUAAGGGAAGAACGAGUGUGAGAGUGGAAAGUUCACACUGUGACGGUAGCUUACCAGAAAGGGACGGCUAACUACGUG
rnacentral:rRNA from 1 species